rnacentral:tRNA from 1 species
GCCGGUGUGGUGGAACUGGUAGACACGCAGGAUUUAGGUUCCUGUGUCGCGAGACGUGCAGGUUCGAGUCCUGUCACCGGCACCG